UACGAAGGGGGCUAGCGUUGCUCGGAAUUACUGGGCGUAAAGGGCGCGUAGGCGGACAGUUUAGUCAGAGGUGAAAGCCCAGGGCUCAACCUUGGAAUUGCCUUUGAUACUGGCUGUCUUGAGUUCGGGAGAGGUGAGUGGAAUGCCGAGUGUAGAGGUGAAAUUCGUAGAUAUUGGGAAGAACACCAGUGGCGAAGGCGGCUCACUGGCCCGCAACUGACGCUGAGGCGCGAAAGCGUGGGGAGCAAACAGG
rnacentral:rRNA from 1 species